rnacentral:rRNA from 1 species
GACGAACGCUGGCGGCGUGCUUAACACAUGCAAGUCGAACGAAGUGGCGAAAGGGUGAGUAAUACGCGGGUACCCUGCCCUCCUUUGUGGGAUAAGCCUUGGAAACGGGGCAUAAUACCGAAUAUAGGGGGAUGGGCUCGCGGCCUAUCAGCUUGUUGGUGGGGUGAUGGCCUAUCAAGGCGGUGACGGGUAGCCGGCCUGAGAGGGUGACCGGCCACGUAGGGACGUAGAUACGUCCCAGGCUGCUACGGGAGGGAGCAGUGGGGGAUAUUGCAGAAUGGGCGAGAGGCUGAUGCAGCGACGCCGCGUGGGGGAUGAGGGCUUUCAGGUUGUAAACCUGUUUCGCUAGCGAACGGGUAGGUGGAGAAAAAGCGCCGGCUAACUACGUGCCAGCAGCCGCGGUAAUAC